GCCUGUUUACCAAAAACAUCACCUCUAGCAUUUCCAGUAUUAGAGGCACUGCCUGCCCAGUGACAUCAGUUAAACGGCCGCGGUAUCCUGACCGUGCAAAGGUAGCAUAAUCAUUUGUUCCUUAAAUAGGGACUUGUAUGAAUGGCCACACGAGGGCUUUACUGUCUCUUACUUCCAAUCCGUGAAAUUGACCUUCCCGUGAAGAGGCGGGAAUAUGACAAUAAGACGAGAAGACCCUAUGGAGCUUUAAUUAACCGACCCAAAGAGAUCUUGAUAAUCAACCGACAGGGAUAACAUACCUCUACCAUGGGCCGACAAUUUAGGUUGGGGUGACCUCGGAGAAUAAAACAACCUCCGAGUGAUUUAAAUCUAGACUAACUAGUCGAAAGUACUACAUCACUUAUUGAUCCAAAAACUUGAUCAACGGAACAAGUUACCCUAGGGAUAACAGCGCAAUCCUAUUUUAGAGUCCAUAUCGACAAUAGGAUUGCGCUGUUAUCCCUAGGGUAACUUGUUCCGUUGAUCAAGUUUUUGGAUCAAUAAGUGAUGUAGUACUUUCGA
rnacentral:rRNA from 1 species